UACGUAGGGGACAAGCGUUGUCCGGAAUUACUGGGCGUAAAGCGAGUGUAGGCGGUCUGAAAAGUCGGGUGUGAAAGCCCCGGGCUCAACCCGGGAAGUGCACUCGAAACUGCCAGGCUAGAGUAUCGGAGAGGUUGGUGGAAUUCUCGGUGUAGAGGUGAAAUUCGUAGAUAUCGAGAGGAACACCGGCGGCGAAGGCGGCCAACUGGACGAAUACUGACGCUGAGACUCGAAAGCGUGGGGAGCAAACAGG
rnacentral:rRNA from 1 species